CCUACGGGAGGCAGCAGUAGGGAAUCUUCCACAAUGGACGAAAGUCUGAUGGAGCAACGCCGCGUGAGUGAAGAAGGGUUUCGGCUCGUAAAGCUCUGUUGGUAGUGAAGAAAGAUAGAGGUAGUAACUGGCCUUUAUUUGACGGUAAUUACUUAGAAAGUCACGGCUAACUAAGUGCCAGCAGCCGCGGUAAUACGUAGGUGGCAAGCGUUGUCCGGAUUUAUUGGGCGUAAAGCGAAUGCAGGCGGUUCAAUAAGUCUGAUGUGAAAGCCUUCGGCUCAACCGGAGAAUUGCAUCAGAAUCUGUUGAACUGGAGUGCAGAAGAGGAGAGUGGAACUCCAUGUGUAGCGGUGGAAUGCGUAGAUAUAUGGAAGCAGACCAGUGGCGAAGGCGGCUCUCGGGUCUGCAACUGACGCUGAGGCUCGAAAGCAUGGGUAGCGAACAGGAUUAGAUACCCGGGUAGUC
rnacentral:rRNA from 1 species